GUGAUUAAAUCGAGAGUGUCUUCAUUGACCUCUCACCCUUCACAUCCACAUACACCUGUGCACCGUUUGGCUCUUAUAAAAGACGAAAGUCUGCAAUGAGAGUCAUCAAUUUUAUACAUACCCCAGUCUUAUGAAUGUAACAGUUUUAAUAAACAUAAUAAAACUUUUAACAACGGAUCUCUUGGUUCUCGCAUCGAUGAAGAACGCAGCGAAAUGCGAUAAGUAAUGUGAAUUGCAGAAUUCAGUGAAUCAUCGAAUCUUUGAACGCACCUUGCGCUCCUUGGUAUUCCGAGGAGCAUGCCUGUUUGAGUGUCAUGAAACUCUCAACCUUCAACUUUUUUAUUAAGGCUGAAGGCUUGGACUUGAGCGCUGCUGGUUCUCACGAACCGGCUCGCUUGAAAUGAAUUAACAGAUCCUUUUUGUAAUCGGUUCCACUCGACGUGAUAAGUAUUUCGCCGAAGACAUAUGAAAGUAUGGCCGAGAUAAAGAAAGUUCUAGAUCCGCUUCUAAUUCUUAGAUAAAGCUUGCUUUACUAAACCCCAUUUUAUGA
rnacentral:rRNA from 1 species